UAGGGAAUCUUCGGCAAUGGACGAAAGUCUGACCGAGCAACGCCGCGUGAGUGAAGAAGGUUUUCGGAUCGUAAAACUCUGUUGGUAGAGAAGAACGUUGGUGAGAGUGGAAAGCUCAUCAAGUGACGGUAACUACCCAGAAAGGGACGGCUAACUACGUGCCAGCAGCCGCGGUAAUACGUAGGUCCCGAGCGUUGUCCGGAUUUAUUGGGCGUAAAGCGAGCGCAGGUGGUUUAUUAAGUCUGGUGUAAAAGGCAGUGGCUCAACCAUUGUAUGCAUUGGAAACUGGUAGACUUGAGUGCAGGAGAGGAGAGUGGAAUUCCAUGUGUAGCGGUGAAAUGCGUAGAUAUAUGGAGGAACACCGGUGGCGAAAGCGGCUCUCUGGCCUGUAACUGACACUGAGGCUCGAAAGCGUGGGGAGCAAACAGGAUUAGAUACCCUGGUAGUCCACGCCGUAAACGAUGAGUGCUAGAUGUAGGGAGCUAUAAGUUCUCUGUAUCGCAGCUAACGCAAUAAGCACUCCGCCU
rnacentral:rRNA from 1 species